UACGAAGGGGGCUAGCGUUGCUCGGAAUCACUGGGCGUAAAGCGCACGUAGGCGGAUUGCUAAGUCAGGGGUGAAAUCCUGGAGCUCAACUCCAGAACUGCCUUUGAUACUGGCGAUCUCGAGUCCGGGAGAGGUGAGUGGAACUGCGAGUGUAGAGGUGAAAUUCGUAGAUAUUCGCAAGAACACCAGUGGCGAAGGCGGCUCACUGGCCCGGUACUGACGCUGAGGUGCGGAAAGCGUGGGGAGCAAACAGG
rnacentral:rRNA from 1 species